rnacentral:rRNA from 1 species
GAUGAACGCUGGCGGCGUGCCUAAUACAUGCAAGUCGAGCGAACAGACGAGGAGCUUGCUCCUCUGACGUUAGCGGCGGACGGGUGAGUAACACGUGGAUAACCUACCUAUAAGACUGGGAUAACUUCGGGAAACCGGAGCUAAUACCGGAUAAUAUAUUGAACCGCAUGGUUCAAUAGUGAAAGACGGUUUUGCUGUCACUUAUAGAUGGAUCCGUGCCGCAUUAGCUAGUUGGUAAGGUAACGGCUUACCAAGGCGACGAUGCGUAGCCGACCUGAGAGGGUGAUCGGCCACACUGGAACUGAGACACGGUCCAGACUCCUACGGGAGGCAGCAGUAGGGAAUCUUCCGCAAUGGGCGAAAGCUUGACGGAGCAACGCCGCGUGAGUGAUGAAGGUCUUCGGAUCGUAAAACUCUGUUAUUAGGGAAGAACAAAUGUGUAAGUAACUAUGCACGUCUUGACGGUACCUAAUCAGAAAGCCACGGCUAACUACGUG